UUUUAUGUUUGAUUCUUGCUUAGAUAACCUAACUAAUAGAUUUUCCACAUUUUGAGAUUUCAUUGAUCAUGAGCGAAUUAAAAACGAUUUUGGUGACAUGUGGAAGAAGGUUCAAUAUUGAUUUUAUUCGGGCAGUAUGUUCACAUGAAUCGAGAGAUCUCUGCCAUACGUCGCUCCACAGGAUUAGCGCUGGGAUUAUACGUGGAAGUUCUAGCCUAUUUAAUAUC